rnacentral:rRNA from 1 species
GAUGAACGCUGGCGGCGUGCCUAAUACAUGCAAGUCGAGCGAACGGACGAGAAGCUUGCUUUUCUGAUGUUAGCGGCGGACGGGUGAGUAACACGUGGAUAACCUACCUAUAAGACUGGGAUAACUUCGGGAAACCGGAGCUAAUACCGGAUAAUAUUUUGAACCGCAUGGUUCAAAAGUGAAAGACGGUCUUGCUGUCACUUAUAGAUGGAUCCGCGCUGCAUUAGCUAGUUGGUAAGGUAACGGCUUACCAAGGCAACGAUGCAUAGCCGACCUGAGAGGGUGAUCGGCCACACUGGAACUGAGACACGGUCCAGACUCCUACGGGAGGCAGCAGUAGGGAAUCUUCCGCACUGGGCGAAAGCCUGACGGAGCAACGCCGCGUGAGUGAUGAAGGUCUUCGGAUCGUAAAACUCUGUUAUUAGGGAAGAACAUAUGUGUAAGUAACUGUGCACAUCUUGACGGUACCUAAUCAGAAAGCCACGGCUAACUACGU